rnacentral:rRNA from 1 species
UACGUAGGGGGCAAGCGUUGUCCGGAUUUAUUGGGCGUAAAGAGCGUGUAGGCGGCCAAGCAGGUCCGCUGUGAAAACUCGAGGCUCAACCUCGAGACGUCGGUGGAAACCGUUUGGCUAGAGUCCGGAAGAGGAGAGUGGAAUUCCCGGUGUAGCGGUGAAAUGCGCAGAUAUCGGGAAGAACACCCGUGGCGAAGGCGGCUCUCUGGGACGUUACUGACGCUGAGAUGCGAAAGCGUGGGGAGCAAACAGG